rnacentral:rRNA from 1 species
GAUGAACGCCAGCGGCAGGCCUAACACAUGCAAGUCGAGGGGUAGAAGGAGCUUGCUCCUUUGAGACCGGCGCACGGGUGCGUAACGCGUAUGCAAUCUACCUUUUACAGAGGGAUAGCCCAGAGAAAUUUGGAUUAAUACCUCAUAGUAUAUAUCAUUCGCAUGUUUGGUAUAUUAAAGUUCCAACGGUAAAAGAUGAGCAUGCGUCCCAUUAGUUAGUUGGUAAGGUAACGGCUUACCAAGACGAUGAUGGGUAGGGGUCCUGAGAGGGGGAUCCCCCCCACUGGAACUAAGACACGGACCAGACUCCUACGGGAGGCAGCAGUGAGGAAUAUUGGUCAAUGGACGCAAGUCUGAACCAGCCAUGCCGCGUGCAGGAAGACGGUCCUAUGGAUUGUAAACUGCUUUUGUACGGGAAGAAACACUCCUACGUGUAGGAGCCUGACGGUACCGUAAGAAUAAGGAUCGGCUAACUCCGUGCCAGCCGCCGCAGUAAAAC